rnacentral:rRNA from 1 species
AGUCUGCAACUCGACUGCAUGAAGCUGGAAUCGCUAGUAAUCGCGAAUCAGCAUGUCGCGGUGAAUACGUUCCCGGGUCCUGUACACACCGCCCGUCACACCAUGGGAGUCGGAAAUGCCCGAAGUCUGUGACCUAACCGUAAGGAAGGAGCAGCCGAAGGCAGGUCGGAUGACUGGGGUGAAGUCGUAACAAGGUACC